rnacentral:rRNA from 1 species
GACGAACCGAGCGAACGUUAUUCGGAAUCACUGGGCUUAAAGGGUGCGUAGGCGGGCCCGUCAGUCAGGGGUGAAAUCCCACGGCCCAACCGUGGAAGUGCCUCUGAUACUGCGGGCCUGGAGGGGGAUAGGGGCGUGCGGAAUUUCCGGUGUAGCGGUGAAAUGCGUAGAUAUGCGGAGGAACACCGAUGGCGAAGGCAAUCCCCUGGGCCUGCACUGACUCAUGCACGAAAGCGUGGGGAGCAAACAGG